AGCAGAGAUGCUUUGGUGCCUUCGGGAACUCUGAGACAGGUGCUGCAUGGCUGUCGUCAGCUCGUGUUGUGAAAUGUUGGGUUAAGUCCCGCAACGAGCGCAACCCUUAUCCUUUGUUGCCAGCGGUCCGGCCGGGAACUCAAAGGAGACUGCCAGUGAUAAACUGGAGGAAGGUGGGGAUGACGUCAAGUCAUCAUGGCCCUUACGAGUAGGGCUACACACGUGCUACAAUGGCAUAUACAAAGAGAAGCGACCU
rnacentral:rRNA from 2 species